rnacentral:tRNA from 2 species
GGUGGUAUAGCUAAGUUAGGCAAAGCAAAGGUCCGCAAAACCUUGACCGUUGGUUCGAGUCCAACUAUCACCU